rnacentral:misc_RNA from 1 species
UUUCGUAGUAUUUGGGAAAGCGAUGAUUUAUAUAAAACACAAAAUCUCUUUUUCCAAAGAUAUCAUUUAGGUAAAUAAUAUAACUAAUAAAUAUAGUUUUUAGAAUAAUUUACUUCAGAUUACUUUCUAGUUUAUUUCCUUGUAAAACGCAAUAAUAAUAAAAAAACACAAAAUGUUUUUCACACUACUUAUAAAUUUCGCGCUAACACGAACAAUCAACCGCUGCAACGAAUAAGAGCAUUCGUGUUUACGUAAAUACGUACCUACCUUUGAUGUACCUACUGCCGCGACACGCGACAACGACGCGACUAUUGCCUAUUUCUUUUUACCUAUUUCUUGUCAAAAAAAUAUUGUGAACGGUUUAGCAAGGACCACCAAUUGUCAGCGUAUACUUAUAUCAGAUUCGCAUUCGAGGCUAUGUUCACAGAAUUCAUAAAAAUUUGCCAUAAUAAUAAGACAGGCAGCAGAACAUAAGACACAGUUUAAUAAUAAUGUACCGCCGCGCGCGCGGAUGGCGCGGCGCUUGCCUUCCCUCCCACUCCCCGCGCGUAGGUUGAAAGGCAGAUAGAUUCAUUCCUAAAACGAUCGCGUAAAAAAAUGUGAAUAGACUUUUAGCAUAACAGUUAUUAUAGAAAAACUACUAAAUGUAUCUUUUCGAAAUAAAUUUAUUUCCACUUUUGAAUAACU